AAUGAACGCUGGCGGCAUGCCUAACACAUGCAAGUCGAACGAAACCUUCGGGUCUAGUGGCGCACGGGUGCGUAACGCGUGGGAACCUGCCCUCAGGUUCGGAAUAACUCUCCGAAAGGGGUGCUAAUACCGGAUAAUGUCUUCGGACCAAAGAUUUAUCGCCUUUGGAUGGGCCCGCGUUGGAUUAGCUAGUUGGUAGGGUAAAAGCCUACUAAGCCGACCAUCCAUAGCUGGUCUGAGAGAAUGGUCAGCCACACUGGGAGUAAGACACGGCCCAGACUCCUACGGGAGGCAGCAGUGGGGAAUAUUGGACAAUGGGCGGAGGCCUGAUCCAGCAAUGCCGCGUGAGUGAUGAAAGCCUUAGGGUUGUAUAGCUCUUUUACCCGGGAUGAUAAUGACAGUACCGGAAGAAUAAGCUACGGCUAACUCCGUG
rnacentral:rRNA from 1 species